GACGAACGCUGGCGGCGUGCUUAACUCAUGCAAGUCGAGCGAUGAAGUUUCUUCGGAAAUGGAUUAGCGGCGAACGGGUGAGGAACACGUGAAGAAUCUGCCCUCCACUUUGGGAUAACACAGGGAAACCUGUGCUAAUACCGAAUAUUGAAACAUAAGUGGCAUCACUGAGUUUUGAAAGAAUUUCGGUGGAGGAUGACUUCGCGGCCUAUCAGCUAGUUGGUGAGGUAAUGGCUCACCAAGGCAACGACGGGUAGCCGGCCUGAGAGGGCGACCGGCCACACUGGGACUGAGACACGGCCCAGACUCCUACGGGAGGCAGCAGUGGGGAAUAUUGGGCAAUGGAGGAAACUCUGACUCAGCGACGCCGCGUGCGGGAUGAAGGCCUUCGGGUUGUAAACCGCUUUCAGUAGGGAAGAAGCGAAAGUGACGGUACCUACAAAAGAAGCACCGGCUAACUAUGUGCCAGCCGCCGCGGUAA
rnacentral:rRNA from 1 species